CUUCGGUGAUGAUACGAUGACGAGUCGGAAUGGGUCACGGUCGGUCUCUGGGGUCGCUGUGUCAGGGUCACGUUCUGUGUCUCUGGGUUCAGUUCCCCAGAGCAGCGUGUCUCUUCAGUUGAAGACAUCGAGGCAUUUGUCUGAGAAGG